rnacentral:rRNA from 1 species
UGGGGAAUUUUCCGCAAUGGGCGCAGGCCUGACGGAGCAAUACCGCGUGAGGGAGGAAGGCUUUUGGGUUGUAAACCUCUUUUCUCAAGGAAGAAGCACUGACGGUACUUGAGGAAUCAGCAUCGGCUAACUCCGUGCCAGCAGCCGCGGUAAUACGGAGGAUGCAAGCGUUAUCCGGAAUUAUUGGGCGUAAAGCGUACGUAGGCGGCUAAGAAAGUCUGAUGUUAAAGGCCACGGCCCAACUGUGGAGAGGCAUUGGAAACUACUUGGCUAGAGUGCGGUAGGGGUAGAGGGAAUUCCCGGUGUAGCGGUGAAAUGCGUAGAUAUCGGGAAGAACACCAGUGGCGAAAGCGCUCUACUGGGCCGCAACUGACGCUGAGGUACGAAAGCUAGGGUAGCGAAAGGGAUUAGAUACCCGCGUAGUCC